rnacentral:rRNA from 1 species
UACGUAGGGGGCAAGCGUUGUCCGGAAUCAUUGGGCGUAAAGCGCGUGUAGGCGGUUUGUCGCGUCUGCUGUGAAAAUCCGGGGCUCAACUCCGGACUUGCAGUGGGUACGGGCAGGCUAGAGUGUGGUAGGGGAGACUGGAAUUCCUGGUGUAGCGGUGGAAUGCGCAGAUAUCAGGAGGAACACCGAUGGCGAAGGCAGGUCUCUGGGCCACUACUGACGCUGAGAAGCGAAAGCAUGGGGAGCGAACAGG